rnacentral:rRNA from 1 species
GAAGAGAAGCUUGCUUUUCUGGUCUAGUGGCGGACGGGUGAGUAACACGUGAGCAAUCUGCCUUUCAGAGGGGGAUACCGAUUGGAAACGAUCGUUAAUACCGCAUAACAUAAUUGAACCGCAUGAUUCGAUUAUCAAAGAUUUAUCGCUGAAAGAUGAGCUCGCGUCUGAUUAGCUAGUUGGUAAGGUAACGGCUUACCAAGGCGACGAUCAGUAGCCGGGCUGAGAGGUUGAUCGGCCACAUUGGGACUGAGACACGGCCCAGACUCCUACGGGAGGCAGCAGUGGGGAAUAUUGCGCAAUGGAGGAAACUCUGAUGCAGCGAUGCCGCGUGAGGGAAGAAGGUUUUAGGAUUGUAAACCUCUGUCUUCAGGGACGAAAAAAGACGGUACCUGAGGAGGAAGCUCCGGCUAACUACGUGCCAGCAGCCGCGGUAAUACGUAGGGAGCGAGCGUUGUCCGGAAUUACUGGGUGUAAAGGGAGCGUAGGCGGGAUCGCAAGUCAGAUGUGAAAACUAUGGGCUUAACCCAUAAACUGCAUUUGAAACUGUGGUUCUUGAGUGAAGUAGAGGUAAGCGGAAUUCCUAGUGUAGCGGUGAAAUGCGUAGAUAUUAGGAGGAACAUCAGUGGCGAAGGCGGCUUACUGG